GACGAACGCUGGCGGCGUGCUUAACACAUGCAAGUCGAACGGAAAGGCCCUGCUUGCAGGGUACUCGAGUGGCGAACGGGUGAGUAACACGUGGGUGAUCUGCCCUGCACUUCGGGAUAAGCCUGGGAAACUGGGUCUAAUACCGGAUAGGAGCCAUUUUUAGUGUGAUGGUUGGAAAGUUUUUUCGGUGUAGGAUGAGCUCGCGGCCUAUCAGCUUGUUGGUGGGGUAAUGGCCUACCAAGGCGGCGACGGGUAGCCGGCCUGAGAGGGUGGACGGCCACAUUGGGACUGGGAUACGGGCCAGACUCCUACGGGGGGCAGCAGGGGGGAAUAUUGCACAAUGGGCGCAAGCCUGAUUGAACGACGCCGCGGGGGGGAUGACGGCCUUCGGGUUGUAAACUCCUUUCGCUAGGGACGAAGCUUUUUGUGACGGUAACUAGUAAAGAAGCACCGGCUAACUACGUG
rnacentral:rRNA from 1 species